rnacentral:rRNA from 1 species
UACGUAAGGGGCAAGCGUUGUCCGGAAUCACUGGGCGUAAAGAGCGCGCAGGCGGUCGUUCAAGUCGCGUGUGAAAGCCCCCGGCUCAACUGGGGAGGGUCACGCGAUACUGAUCGACUCGAAGGCAGGAGAGGGUAGUGGAAUUCCCGGUGUAGUGGUGAAAUGCGUAGAUAUCGGGAGGAACACCAGUGGCGAAGGCGACUACCUGGCCUGUUCUUGACGCUGAGGCGCGAAAGCUAGGGGAGCAAACGGG